rnacentral:rRNA from 1 species
AUUGAACGCUGGCGGCAGGCCUAACACAUGCAAGUCGAGCGGAGCGGCGGACGGGUGAGUAAUGCCUAGGAAUAUGCCUGGUAGUGGGGGAUAACGUCCGGAAACGGGCGCUAAUACCGCAUACUAUCAGAAGAGCCUAGUGGGGAUUAGGUCGAUGGUGGGGUAAAGGCAUACCAAGGCGACGAUCCGUAACGGGUCUGAGAGGAUGAGCAGUCACACUGGAACUGAGACACGGUCCAGACUCCUACGGGAGGCAGCAGUGGGGAAGAUUGGACAAUGGGCGAAAGCCUGAUGCAGCCAUGCCGCGUGUGUGAAGAAGGUCUUCGGAUUGUAAAGCACUUUAAGUUGGGAGGCGUUACCAACAGAAUAAGCACCGGCUAACUUCGUGCCAGCAGCCGCGGUAAUAC